CCUUCCUCGGCCUGAAUGAACCCCUAAGCAGUUAAUUUAUUUAAAGUUAUUGGCUUUAUGGUUGUGAUGUUGUGUUUACAAAUUAUCUGGUUUUUCCAGGUUGAGUAGUUAAUUCUACUAUUUUCACUCCUAUACAUUUACCUUGUCUGUCCAUAGUUAUUUUAACGCGACGCAUUUAUUGCGGCGUUUUUUUAU
rnacentral:other from 1 species